CAGCAGCCGCGGUAAUACGAAGGGUGCAAGCGUUAGUCGGAAUUACUGGGCGUAAAGCGUGCGUAGGCGGUUUGUUAAGUCUGUUGUGAAAUCCCCGGGCUCAACCUGGGAAUGGCAAUGGAUACUGGCAAGCUAGAGUGUGUCAGAGGAUGGUGGAAUUCCCGGUGUAGCGGUGAAAUGCGUAGAGAUCUGGAGGAAUACCGGUGGCGAAGGCGGCCCCCUGGACAAAGACUGACGCUCAGGUGCGAAAGCGUGGGGAGCAAACAGGAUUAGAUACCCCAGUAGUCCCUGUCUCUUAUAA
rnacentral:rRNA from 1 species